GGGGAUGAGUAGAGUGGCGUCCGGGUGAGUAACACGUAGGUAAUCUACCUUCGGGUGGGGAAUAACCCAGGGAAACUUGGGCUAAUACCGCAUAAUGCAGCGGCACCACAUGGUGACAGUUGUUAAAGCGGGGGAUCUUCGGAUCUCGCGCCUGAAGAGGAGCCUGCGGCAGAUUAGCUAGUUGGUAGGGUAACGGCUUACCAAGGCGACGAUCUGUAGCCGGCCUGAGAGGGCGGUCGGCCACACUGACACUGACAUACGGGUCAGACUCCUACGGGAGGCAGCAGUCGGGAAUUUUGGGCAAUGGGCGAAAGCCUGACCCAGCAACGCCGCGUGAAGGAUGAAAUCCCUCGGGAUGUAAACUUCGCAAGAAUGGGAAGAAUAGACGAGUACUAAUACUGCUCGUGAUGACGGUACCAUUUGUAAGCUCCGGCUAACUCCGUGCCAGCAGCCGCGGUAAUACGGGGGGAGCAAGCGUUGUUCGGAUUUACUGGGCGUAAAGGGCGCGUAGGCGGUCAGCACAAGUCAGUUGUGAAAUCUCCGGGCUUAACUCGGAAAGGUCAACUGAUACUGUGCGACUAGAGUGCAGAAGGGGCAACUGGAAUUCUCGGUGUAGCGGUGAAAUGCGUAGAUAUCGAGAGGAACACCUGCGGCGAAGGCGGGUUGCUGGGCUGACACUGACGCUGAUGCGCGAAAGCCAGGGGAGCGAACGGGAUUAGAUACCCCGGUAGUCCUGGCCUAAA
rnacentral:rRNA from 1 species